GUCUUUAAGUAAUAAUUUAAAGUCCAGCCUGCUCAAUUCCAAAGUAAAUAGCCGCAGUUCCACUGUGCUAAGGUAGCAUAAUAAUUAGCCUCAUAAUUAGAGGAUAGAAUGAAUGGCUAGACGAGGUGUUAACUGUCUCAUAAACUCAAAACGAAACUCAAAUAUCAGUAAAAAUGCUGAUAUAAAAAGGCAGGACGACAAGACCCUGAACAAACUUAUCAUUCAGCUGGGGCGGCUAAACAAAAAAACCUUGAUUAAAAAUUACAAUAAAAUAGCUAGUCAAACUAACUAAAAGUUACUGCAGGGAUAACAGCGCAAUUUCUUCCAAAAGCUCCAAUUCAAGAAGAAGAUUACGACCUCGAUGUUGAAUUAAUUUCCUAAUACUGUGCAAAAGCAAAUAUAAGGUGGUCUGUUCGACCAUUAAAUAAUU
rnacentral:rRNA from 1 species